CUACGGGCCGCUGCAGUGGGGAAUAUUGCACAAUGGGCGCAAGCCCGAUGCAGCCAUGCCGCGUGUAUGAAGAAGGCCUUCGGGUUGUAAAGUACUUUCAGCGGGGAGGAAGGGAGUAAAGUUAAUACCUUUGCUCAUUGACGUUACCCGCAGAAGAAGCACCGGCUAACUCCGUGCCAGCAGCCGCGGUAAUACGGAGGGUACAAGCGUUAAUCGGAAUUACUGGGCGUAAAGCGCACGCAGGCGGUUUGUUAAGUCAGAUGUGAAAUCCCCGGGCUCAACCUGGGAACUGCAUCUGAUACUGGCAAGCUUGAGUCUCGUAGAGGGGGGUAGAAUGCCAGGUGUAGCGGUGAAAUGCGUAGAGAUCUGGAGGAAUACCGGUGGCGAAGGCGGCCCCCUGGACGAAGACUGACGCUCAGGUGCGAAAGCGUGGGGAGCAAACAGGAUUAGAUACCCGUGUAGUC
rnacentral:rRNA from 1 species